rnacentral:rRNA from 1 species
AGGUAACGUAGCGAAAGCUACGCUAAUACCGCAUACGAUCUACGGAUGAAAGCGGGGGAUCGCAAGACCUCGCGCGAUUGGAGCGGCCGAUAUCAGAUUAGGUAGUUGGUGAGGUAAAGGCUCACCAAGCCGACGAUCUGUAGCUGGUCUGAGAGGACGACCAGCCACACUGGGACUGAGACACGGCCCAGACUCCUACGGGAGGCAGCAGUGGGAAUUUUGGACAAUGGGCGCAAGCCUGAUCCAGCAAUGCCGCGUGCAGGAUGAAGGCCUUCGGGUUGUAAACUGCUUUGUACGGAACGAAACGGUGAGCUCUAAUACAGUUUGCUAAUGACGGUACCGUAAGAAUAAGCACCGGCUAACUACGUG